GCACGUCAUACGGCGGAAAUUGACCCUGGCAGCAAGGUUCUGGGUGUGUUGUAAGUGCUGGAUGGAAUGGAAGCUUAGAGACUAGAGGGAAAGAAGUUGAAUGGGAAGCAAUGGGUGCAGCUGAUGCAUGAGGUAAUACGGUCCUGAACUAGGAAAUGAUAGCAGAGGUGGGAAGGAAGUUAUAAACUUGAGGGACACUGUGAAAGAAAGAAGGAGAGUGUGUAAUGUCUAUUUGAACCUAGAAAGGAAACCAAAGUUGUAGUUGAUAUUUUGAGCUUUAAUGACUAGACUACCAUGGUGCUAUAAUAAAAAGCAGAAAACGAAGACGAUAGUGAUUUAGGAAAUGGGGAGAAUAAUUUGUUUAAAAGCUACUAUGACAUUUAAGUGCAAUGUGCUAUAGGCAGCUGGAAAUGCAGAGUGAGAAUUCAGGAGAGUGCUUGGGCUGGAGAUGUGUUGCCUUCCAAGUAAUGGUGGAACGUGGGUUGAUGGAUGACUUCUCUGCAAGCAAAAAUGUCAAGCUAAGAAACCCGUCAAAGAGUGGAAGCUGUGGACCACAGACCACCCCCAUCUUUGUGACAAGUGGAAUUAAGAGACUGUCCCAGCAACCACAUGGGAGCAAAGAGGCUUACAGACAUGGAAGGAAUCUGUUCCCAGGGCCUCAAGUGGUUACUAUCACUUAAUGCUAAGUUGUAUUAGCCAAGGCAGAAAAACAAAACUCUCUAACAAUUCAUUAGUUCUUUUUGUAUCAAUAACUCAUCUAAUAGUAAAAAGCUUGGUCAGGAGAUUUGUCCCUUAGAGCUGUCUUAGGAUAAGGAGAAGGGUGGAAAGAAAUACCCAGGAGUCUGAUGUGAACUUCCUGGGUCACGGCAAUGAGGAAAAGCAAACUCAGAGAUAUUUGGAUUUGGGGAGCAAAAAUGUUCUUGACUGUGGAACAAACACUGCUUUUCUGACUUAUAUCCUAUCCCACACAAAACAAAACAGAACAAAAACCUAUGCUCUCUGAUAAUGACAGGCCACAAUUCCUGGCAUGACGCCUGCCACCUGGCAGGUCCUGAGCAAGUGUUAAUCUCUCCUUUUUCCUCUCUUAUACACUACUAUGCGAAAGUAUGCCUCCAAAAAUAAGUACACUUAAUACAUAAAGUCCAAAUUUACACAACAGAUACAUUAGAUGUUUAUUAUCUGUAAAAGUAUUUCUCUUUUCCUUAGCAAAUUGAUUAAUAUACUAAACUAUUACUCAGCUUGCAACUAUCUGAUUUGUACGUAUUUCAGGGAUAAACCAGUUACAUAAAGUGAGGCAGAACUAUAGACAUGUUUUCCAAAUGUGUGUAAAUCUAAUUUUGAUUAGUUGAAUCAAAUAUUAAAUUUCCUUGGAGAGUUGGUUAUUUGAAAGGGCCCCAAGGUGAAUUCUUUUGGUAAAGCAUAAACUCUUUCUGAAUGGUGAAAAAUUUCUGUGAAACGUGAUGACAACUUCUCUUGGCCAGAAGAAGUGCUUGUCAAGUUUCCCAACAGUGGAGUCUAGGCAAAGUUCAGAGAGCAGCUCCGGGAGGGUAAAGGAAAGAACAGGUUAUGGGAGGGGGUGGGCAGAUGAUCAAGCAAGGAUUUCUAACCUUGGCUAACAGAGGGAUGCGUGGUUUCCAAGCACAAAAUCAUGCAUGCCUUUUUAUUUUUCAGAUUUUGGCAGUGAGUCUUCCUCAUGCAUAUACUAGCAACGUUUUAGAAACUGAAAAUGCAGUAUUGACUAAAUCUGGAGAGCAUUACGUAUGGAGCUUCACAUUACAUAUGAAGGCAAGAUAAAUGAUACUUAAAACCAUGAGCGAAUAUGAGGGCACUCAAAGGAGUGUGCAGCAGUUCAAGAAGGAGAGAAGGGACAAAAGCCCCUAAGAAACCCUAAUAAUCAAGGCACAGCAAAGGAAUAGACUGAGAAGGGGUAGUUUGAAGGGAGGAGAAAAAGUAGGAGGGUAUGGUAUCACAGGAAGCCAAUAGAGAGAGCCUUUCAAGAAGAGAGUGGUCACCCAGAACAACUACUACAGAUAGGUCAAGUUGGAUAAAGUUUGGGAGGUGUCCUAUAGAGUUAGCAUUCAUGAGAUUAGGGACAGUUGACAGACCGUGUCAGUGAGGAAGGAGGACAGAGUUGGAAAUGGAGGUGACACAUGCCUCUCACACUUUAGUUGUCCCAGAGAAGCUGUUGAGAAUCAGGUAGUGGUUUUCAAAUCAAGACUGGAUUCCCUUAGAAGACCUGCAGACAAGGUAGUGUGUUGCCAUUUAAAGAAAAGCAAUGUUCUCAGAGAUACCAGGUAUGGGGUCGGACGGGUGCUUUACUGUGGCACCUACAGGAAUAGUUAUGUAUUCUUAAUGGUCCAUCUCAACUUGCCUACAUAAAAGUUCUGUUGCAAGUAAAUUUUAUACCUUCCACAGUAAGCAAUUCUGAAUGUCCUUGUUAUCCCACAUGCCACUGACCCCAUGAUAAUCUGACAUCAUUUGUAGACAAUACUUACUUCUAGUCUUCUCCAACACAAGGACAAGUCUAUGUCCUUGUCAUUUGAGAAUUCCUAAACCUAUAUUAAUUAUAUGUGUGUAUUGGUGGCCCAUAUAUUCAUCAUUUAUUUAUUUAUUCAAUGAGCACUUGUGGAAAGAAAGCACUCUAGGAGAUAACCAGAAUGAAUAAGGCAUGUAUCUAAACCUGUUAGAUGAGGGGCGCCUGGGUGGCUCAGUUGGUUAAGCAACCGACUUCAGCUCAGAUCAUGAUCUCGCGAUCCGUGAGUUCGAGCCCUGCGUUGGGCUCUGUGCUGACAGCUCAGAGCCUGGAGCCUGUUUCAGAUUCUGUGUCUCCCUCUCUCUGACCCUUCCCCGUUCAUGCUCUGUCUCUCUCUGUCUCAAAAAUAAAUAAACGUUAAAAAAAAUUUUUUUUUAAAUA
rnacentral:lncRNA from 1 species